rnacentral:rRNA from 1 species
UACGUAGGGUGCGAGCGUUAAUCGGAAUUACUGGGCGUAAAGCGUGCGCAGGCGGUUCGUUGUGUCGGCGGUGAAAGCCCCGGGCUCAACCUGGGAACUGCAUUUGUGACUGCAAGGCUAGAAUCUGGCAGAGGGGGGUAGAAUUCCACGUGUAGCAGUGAAAUGCGUAGAUAUGUGGAGGAAUACCGAUGGCGAAGGCAGCCCCCUGGGCUAAGAUUGACGCUCAUGCACGAAAGCGUGGGGAGCAAACAGG